AGUGAGCACCUGUUUGAUAGCUUUGAACCGGAAACGUACUGGGAUCGAAUGCACCUCUUCCAGGAAGCCAUUGCACACAGGCGGCCCCCAUGAAUGUCCUCAGAAGGGGGUGGCUCCUGGUAGCAUCCUUUUCCUUCACCAUCUAUGGGAUAUUAGGGGCAGAAUCUGCCACUUCUUGCCCAGGAGUGUGCACAGAUGUAAGAUAAUUUUGUGAAAUAAUGUACCAUAGACUCUCACCAACUGUAUAUACCUGUACAUAUCAGAAGCAAAUAAAAAGCUCCACGUGCA
rnacentral:sRNA from 1 species